rnacentral:lncRNA from 1 species
GAAUGGGGUUUCGAAAAGUGGAAAUGGGAACAGUGGUAAGCCAAAUAGCCUUCAUUGUUGUCUGGUUGUUUUCUUCUAAAAUCUCUCUUAAUUCUGUUUUUAGGGUUUGUGACGUUUUUUUUUGAGAUUAAAAGAUGAGUUUUUGGAAAAACAGGGGGCAGAUUGGGGAAGAUGGAUGAUAGCUGGCAACAGGCUGGAGUCAAUUGCCAGAAUGGAUGGAACGGAAGCUGACGGUAAGGUCAAAUUUCAUAUAAAGUCCUUGUAUUAUGCAUUUAUUUUAGAUUUAGUCUCUCUACUAUAAUUUGAUCAUUUCUAUUUUCGAAAAAUUUAUUUUCAGUCCCCAUGUUAUUUUUCAUGAAUUCUGUGAAAUAAUUUAACAUGAUUUAUUUUUUAAACAUGUAAUGACAUG